rnacentral:lncRNA from 1 species
GGAUCAUUAUGCAUACCUCCAUUCCAAAUCUCUUCUUUGAAUGAUAAGAAGCACAAUCACUUAAACUAGGCUAAAGUCUAAUUCAAACAUAGCCUUAACAACUCCAUAUUAUAGAAACAAAAACUAAGUAAUAGUGAACUUAAAAAUUGGGCGUAUCCCAAUUUGUAUUACUAUUUUUUUCCUAGCUUCUUAUUUGCACCUCACAAUUAAAAAAUCUAUAAUCUGUUGAAAGAAACUGCACUAGUAAAUGAUAUGGUUAGAAGUUACAGGAUCUAAAGGUUCGAGAUGAUUGAAUCAUCUAACGUUUCUAAUGUCAGAGUCAAGAGUAAAUGGGUCAAAAAGAGAUUUCUGUAAAAGCACAACGCAAGGUGUAAUUACCCAAAAAUAAUACUGAGUCAACACAAGUGAGUCAAAAGCCGAGUGAACGAACAACGCAAAGUGUCAGAAACGCACCUUGGAUGUGGAGAGCCUUUGUUUUGAAUCUUUGAUGGGUUGUGACCGUUCAUAGAGCCGCACUUCCUCUUCCCCUACGACGAAGGCCGCGGCGGCCGACCACUCCCUGCCGACGCCGACGACGACAACGAAUUCGCCGCUGAUUUUUUGAGGAAGCGGAAGUAAACAAUAAACCCUAGAAAUCGAAUCCGUUUUUUUUUAAUGGUCCGAUUCUGAUCCAACAGCUCUGAUUCUCUGAUUUUCUCUUGUUAAGAAUCUCUUGUUAAGAAAUCAUAGGGUCCUCUUCUGAAGCGAGCGUGGCCGAUUUUGGUCCGAUUGAUCAUAGUGAAAAAACAUGGCCCUAGUCAUAAUGGGUCCCGCAUAAUAAUGGGUCCCAAAGUCAACAAGGAUCAUGACUAUAUUUAGCCUGGUAAUGCUUAAAAGCAAAUUUUUUUUUUAGUUUGCUACUAAAAAAUUUAAAAAAUUUAAAAAAUUUAGAUUUUUUUGCUUUCAUAUAUUUACUUUAGCUAAAAAAAAUUAAAAAAAUCAACUCUAGUGGUUUUUUUGCUUAUAAGCUUAACGUCUUGUCAGGGCAAAUGUUUUUUUUGAAUUUUUUUAAUAGUCUUAACUUUUGAUUUUUUUUUAUUUUAAAUAAUUUUUUUAAUUAUUUUAUUAAAAUUUUAUAUUUUAUCGAUUCUUCUGUGGAUGGAAAUCCAAAAAUAUAAAUAAUUUUAUAUAAUUUAUAAAAAAACUCACUAAAGAUAAAAAAUUAUUUUUUAGAUUUUUUUGAAUGAAAUUAUUAUUUUUGGCCUUUUGUAUUUUUUUUCAAAUUAGAUGAAUAUUUUUAUAUUUUUAGACUAUAAUCAAGAUCAAAUGGAAAAAAGAGUUAACUAAAAUACCAAAAAACAGAGUCGGCAGAGAUUUGUAAAAGAAAAAAAAUAUUAAACUUGAAUCGUUAGAUUCGUUGACUUUUCUUUUUUUUUUUCUCUACCAAAUCAUAAAUCCAAAUAUAGCCUUGAACAAUUUAAGAUUGUAUUUCAAUAAAAAAAUUGGUAAGAUUUGUUAAGGAAAAUGAAAAAUUAAAAAAAAGAAAAUGCUACACAUCAUCCAAAGAACGGUGAUUUUUUUUUAAUAGGAAAGAAAUAUAUUGAUAAUUAUGAAAAUUGUAUAUAAAUUUAUAAAUAUUCGUAUUAACUACCGCUCAAUAAAUCUAACAAGCGAUGAUUGAGAGUGAAGUCAUGUGUCCAAUUGUUUUUGGUUUCAAUUUAUAUUUAUAUUUAAUGGGGUAUGAGGCCCAUAACCCAUGCACGCGAGAUCUAUUAUGUAUAUUAUUAAUUGAAUGACGAUAUGGAAUAAAAUUGAAUGAUAAGAAUAAGUUUGUAGAUAGAUUGUCAUAUUUUAAGACAAUUUUGAUUUGUAAUCAUACUGCUAUAAAUAUUAAAUCAAUUUAACUUUUUUUUUAUAGACAAUCUAUGUUCAUAGACUUAAAAAAAUGAAUCGAUUGAGAUCCUGUUUUGGGUAUUUAUUUAUUUUAUCUUUUUAUGUUAGUAAAUUUUUUUCAUCGUUUUUUUAAAUUUUAAAUUUUUUUAGUUUAUUUUGACAAGAAUAGUCCGAAGAUAGAUUUUUUUUUUAUCUAAUUUGAUUUUUUUUUAUUAAAAACGAUUAUAUUUUUUGACUCCUUUUGUCAAUAAAAAUUAAAAAAAUAUAAAUUUUUAAUCAAACAAAAAAAUAAAUUCACUAUAAAUAAAAACUUGAAAAUAAAAAAAUAAAAAUAUCCAAACUUGAAUCGAUGAAUCUUUUAGUCAUCCAAACCGGACCGACAUAGCACAAAAAUCAAAUCUAUUUGGAUAAACUGCAGAAUUCACGUGUAUACUGAAAAUCAAAGGCUGACAGCCUCGUCAAUCAGCGCAUUAAAUUGGAAAAUUAUUCAGUGCUUUGAGCGCAAGUCCUAGUAGUGUUCUAACAUUAGAAUGAUUGAUCUAAAAUACUGAUAUUCAUUAACUUUUGUGUAUAAAUUGUAGUCGACAUGUGCAAAUGUAUCACUCAGUAAAUGAUGUAGAGCAAUACU